UUCCACAACUCACAACAUGCUCACUGUCUCACAACUCUCUCUCUCAAACCACUCUCUGUGGCACAUUUCUCUCUCUCUCUCUCCCAAUCUCUCUCGCACAUGUCUCUCCCAAUCUCUCUCGCACAGCUUUGUCUCAACUCUCUCCCGCUCAAAACUCUCUCUUACUCACUUCUCAACAAAUGGGUUUCAAUUAGGGAUCUCGAGCAACAGAUUGUAGAAGGGGUUGUAAAAAGGGGUUUCAACGGUAUUGAAUUCAAUUUGGAUUCUUCAUUAACGGGUUGAAGCAACGGUUCUACUGCUGUGGAUCCGAGUUAGCUAGGGUUCUCCUAAACGGGUUUUGCAUCAGGGUUCUUGAGUAACUGAUAAUUGGGGCUUCUUCACCUAUCUAUUUUAAUUACAAAAUUAGGGUUUUAAAUUAUUGAAUUGGGGUUUUGAAUGUUUAAUAUCAGAUAACUGCCCUUAAUUAUACAUGUUGAAUUGGGAUUUAAUAAUUAUGCUUUGAACGGUUGUCUACCCUGUUUUAGUUAACUGCAUGAUCCUAUCUAACUUCUCACUUUUGAUUCUCCAAGUGAAACCAUGGGAAGAGCAUUCGACAAAUACUUGGGACGAAAUACCACACUGGGGCUUGCUUUAUGGGGACCUCCUAAUAUCUUGCAGAGGUCAGAAGCUCUACUUUUCGAGCAUCUUCAGAUGAGAAUUGUUGUUUAUCAUGUGCAGUUAUGCAUGCUGUCAACAAUGAGAUGACUCAGAUUUUGGAGGAGAACAUACGUUCUAUGGAACCGGAAAUUCCGAAACUUAUGGCUGAAGUUGCAAAUGCUAAGAAGAUGGAAAGGGCAGCUGCAGCGGUUGCUGCUUUCUUCUCAUGUCGGAGGUGCAUUAGAACAAGCGAACAACCACCUUUCAUAAAUAUAAUCUACACACCACUACUUCGUGCGGGAGAGGGUGAAUGAUCAGGAGCAUGGCAAAUUAGAGCGUUAGUUGACAAGAAUUUCAACGGGGAUGAUCCGGCUCUUACACAGAAAGGACCUUGAUUCACUAGAAAAGCAGAUUGAUUUCUCUUUAAGGGAUUUCAGAUCAGAUAGAUGUCCUGUUUUAAUCAAAUGAAAGAAUGAAUACAGUUGUGGCACAGCAAGCUCCAAAGAUGUAUUGGUGAUGGUAGCUUCUAGGUGCGCACUGGAUCAUACCAUCUAGACUUGAAGAACAAGGUCAAGUGAAAAACUCAAAGCGGCAAGAUGCUGGUGGCGCCAUAGAAUAAAGAAGUUGUUCGAGACCGUGAUACCAAUCCAAGUAAAAAAUAGCAAGUGAUCAAACUAGUUUUGUAUUUAGUUUUUAGAAUUUGGAAUUUUGUAAAUACUUUGGUUUCGAGGACAAGUUAUAUAGAUAAAUAAUUUUGUCAAAUAGAAAUAACUAUGUUUUAGACCUAAAA